AGGGCUGUUGCUGACCUCUAAAGGGUUGUGCACGCCUAAGCACUCUUAAACAUCCAUCUCACCCCAUUGUGCAUCACCGCGUGGGCCCCUUUGCAAAAGGGGCUUGCGUUUUUUUUAUACAUAAAACUUGAUACAGUAUAGAAUAUUAUAUUUUGCUAUUAUAUGCAACUAAUACAACUUUCAACAACGGAUCUCUUGGCUCUCGCAUCGAUGAAGAACGCAGCGAAAUGCGAUACGUAAUGUGAAUUGCAGAAUUCAGUGAAUCAUCGAAUCUUUGAACGCAACUUGCGCCCCUUGGCAUUCCGAGGGGCACACCUGUUUGAGUGUCGUGAAAUUCUCAAAAACCUUUUUGUUUGAUUGUUUCUGAUCAGGAAAAGGCUUUUGGACUUGGAGGUUUAAUGCUUGCUUUUGUGUUGAAAGCAAGCUCCUCUAAAAUAAAUUAGUAGGAUCUGCUUUGGUUAAUCUUAAAGGAAAUAAAAGGUUUUUCCAUUAGUAACUGCGAGUGAAGCGGGAAAAGCUCAAAUUUAAAAUCUGGUGGUCUUUAGCCAUCCGAGUUGUAAGAGAAGCAUCUUCCGCGCUGGACCGUGCACAAGUCUCCUGGAAUGGAGCGUCAUAGAGGGUGAGAAUCCCGUCUUUGGCACGGACAUGUCAGUGCUUUUGUGAUGUGCUCUCAAAGAGUCGAGUUGUUUGGGAAUGCAGCUCAAAAUGGGUGGUGAACUCCAUCUAAAGCUAAAUAUUGGCGAGAGACCGAUAGCGAACAAGUACCGUGAGGGAAAGAUGAAAAGCACUUUGGAAAGAGAGUGAAACAGUACGUGAAAUUGUUGAAAGGGAAACGCUUGAAGUCAGUCGUGUUGACCAAGACUCAGCCUUGCCUUGGCUUGGUGUAAUUCUUGGCUGACAGGCCAGCAUCAAUUUUGUCUCUUGGAUAAUGGUAAGGGAAAUGUGACACCUUUAUGGUGUGUAUAGUCUCUUGUCGCAUGCAAGGGUUGAGAUUGAGGAACUCAGCAUGCACCUUUUGGUGUUGGGGCUUUGCCCACAAUACGUGCUUAGGAUGUUGGCAUAAUGGCUUUAAACGACCCGUCUUGAAACACGGACCAAGGAGUCUAACAUACCUGCGAGUGUUUGGGUGGAAAACCCGUGCGCGUAAUGAAAGUGAAAGUUGGGACCUUUGUCGUGAAGGGCACCGACGCCCGGACCAGACCUUCUGUGACGGCUCUGCGGUAAAGCAUGUAUGUUAGGACCCGAAAGAUGGUGAACUAUG
rnacentral:rRNA from 1 species